UGGGGAAUAUUGCACAAUGGGGGAAACCCUGAUGCAGCGACGCCGCGUGGAGGAAGAAGGUCUUCGGAUUGUAAACUCCUGUUGUUGAGGAAGAAAGGACGGUACUCAACAAGGAAGUGACGGCUAACUACGUGCCAGCAGCCGCGGUAAAACGUAGGUCACGAGCGUUGUCCGGAAUUACUGGGUGUAAAGGGAGCGCAGGCGGGUAGACAAGUUGGGAGUGAAAUGCAUGGGCUCAACCCAUGAACUGCUCUCAAAACUGUAGAUCUUGAGUAGUGCAGAGGUAGGCGGAAUUCCCGGUGUAGCGGUGGAAUGCGUAGAUAUCGGGAGGAACACCAGUGGCGAAGGCGGCCUACUGGGCACCAACUGACGCUGAGGCUCGAAAGUGUGGGUAGCAAACAGGAUUAGAUACCCUAGU
rnacentral:rRNA from 1 species